AAACAGGCUCGCUGAGAAGGAUCCAAGCCAAUGGCUUCUCUCCUGCCACCAAAAAUCACCGCUGUUUUUCAGUCUCCAUAAACAUAAAAUUUCAACAUGCAUCAGGAAAAGGGGGAAAUUUGAGCCCUUAAGAUAGGUGGGCAUCUCCAAAAUGGCAUCGCCUACAAGGAUCCUAAUAUAAAAGUUUGAACUAAAGCUCAUUUAACAGCCUACUGAGCUUGAAAGCUUGAGCUCCCAAAUCAAAUUGGAAUGUUUUUUUUAAAGAAAGUACCAUUCGACUUUUAAGAAU